rnacentral:rRNA from 1 species
UCAAGAAAUUAAGAGCUCAAUGUGAAUGCCUUGGUAUUCAUAAGUGAUGAAGGACGUGACAUCCGACGAAACGCUUCGGGGAGUAGGAAAAAAGCUGUGAUCCGUAGGUAUCCGAAUAAGGAAACUUUUUAAUUAACUUCUUAUUGCAAAUUUAUACAUAAGAAGAACGAACUUAGGGAACUGAAACAUCUUAGUACCUAAAGGAAAAGAAAGUAAAAACGAUUCCCGUAGUAGCGGCGAGCGAAAUGGGAACAGCCCAAACCUUAAUCUGGGAUCAACGAUCAAGAAAGGUUAAGGGGUUGUGGGAUUUUGAAUCAUUUAUAUUAUGGAGAACUAUAUUAUGGAGAACCACUCUAUCUAAAAGAUAUAAAAGAGUAGUAUGUCAAUGUAAAUUUGGGUCAAGAGUGGAAUACCUAAAUGCUAUAAGAAUAAAUUGGAAAAUUUAACCAGAGAGAGUGAUAGUCUCGUACUUUAAAGCAACAGACAACAUACGUUUUAAGAUCCCAAGUAGCACGAGACACGUGAAAUCUAGUGUGAAUCUACGAGGACCACCUCGUAAGGCUAAAUAUUCAUGAAUGACCGAUAGUGAAUUAGUACCGUGAGGGAAAGGUGAAAAGAACCCCGGAAGGGAUGUGAAAUAGAACAUGAAACAUUGAGCUUACAAGCAGUAGGAGAACGUCACGAUGUUUGACUACGUGCCUGUUGAAGAAUGAGCCGGCGACUUGUAUUUAUUGGCAGGUUAAAAUAUUAAAUAUUGGAGCCAUAGUGAAAGCGAGCCUUAAUAGGGCGAUUGUUGUCAUUAAAUACGGACCCGAACCCGGAUGAUCUAACCAUGGCCAGGAUGAAACCUAGGUAAUACUAUGUGGAGGUCCGAACCGACUGAUGUUGAAAAAUCAGCGGAUGAGUUGUGGUUAGGGGUGAAAUACCAAUCGAAUUCGGAGCUAGCUGGUUCUCCCCGAAAUGUGUUUAGGCGCAGCGGUUAAUCUUAUAACUUAGGGGUAAAGCACUGUUUCGAUGCGGGCUGGUAACUCGGUACCAAAUCGAUGCAAACUCUGAAUACUAAGUGAAUAAGGAAGAAUAAUGAAAGUGAAUAAUUAAAUUAACCAGUAAGACAGUGGGGGAUAAGCUCCAUUGUCAAAAGGGAAACAGCCCAGAUCACUAGCUAAGGCCCCUAAGAAUUACUAAGUGAGAAAGGAAGUGAGAAGACUUUGACAGCCAGAAGGUUUGCUUAGAAGCAGCAAUCCUUUAAAGAGUGCGUAAUAGCUCACUGGUCUAGUAAUCUUGCGCCGAAAAUGAAUGGGACUUAAGUAAUUUGCCGAAGCUGUGGGAUUCUUGAAGAUAUUUAAAGAAUCGGUAGGGGAGCGUUCUGUUUGAAAGGUUGAAGCACUAAUGUAAGUGAGUGUGGACGAAACAGAAGUGAGAAUGUCGGCUUGAGUAGCGAAAAUAUUGGUAAGAAUCCAAUACCCUGAAAACCUAAGGUUUCCCCAUGGAAGGUUCGUCCGCAGGGGGUUAGUCAGGAUCUAAGGCGAGGUUGAAGAACGUAGUCGAUGGGCAAUAGGUUAAUAUUCCUAUACUGUUUUUUGAUAGUAACGAGGGACGGAGAAGGCUAUAUCUAGCCGGAGAAUGGUAACCGGUUCAAGCAUUCAAGACUGCGAAAAGUAGAGAAAAUACUUUGAGUUAAGGUGUUAAGACGAUAAUUAAAGUGAUUGAUGUCAUGCUUCCAAGAAAAGCUCGAAUUACGUUAAUCAAUAAACACCUGUACCAGAAACCGACACAGGUAGGUAGGUAGAGAAUACCAAAGGGCGCGAGCUAACUCUCUCUAAGGAACUCGGCAAAAUAACCCCGUAACUUUGGGAUAAGGGGUACCUAAAUAACUAGGUUGCAAUAACAAGGUCCAAGCGACUGUUUAUCAAAAACACAGAUCUCCGCGAAGUCGUAAGACGAUGUAUGGGGGUUGACGCCUGCCCAGUGCCGGAAGGUUACAGAAGGUGGUUAAUCACAAGAUGAAGCUACUAACUUAAGCCCCGGUGAACGGCGGCCGUAACUAUAACGGUCCUAAGGUAGCGAAAUUCCUUGUCGGGUAAGUUCCGACCCGCACGAAAGGCGUAACGAUUUGGAUACUGUCUCGGAGAGGGACUCGGCGAAAUAGACUUGUCUGUGAAGAUGCGGACUACCUGCACCUGGACAGAAAGACCCUAUGAAGCUUUACUGUAACUUGAGAUUGGUUUUGAGUUUUACUCGCGCAGUAUAGGUGGGAGGCUAUGAUAAAGUUUUUGCGGAGACUUUUGAGCCAACAGUGAGAUACCACUCUUGCAAAAUUAAAAAUCUAAAUUUUAUACCAUGAAUCUGGUUAAAAGACAGUCUCAGGCGGGCAGUUUGACUGGGGCGGUCGCCUCCUAAAAGGUAACGGAGGCGCGCAAAGGUUUUCUCAAAUCGGUCAGACAUCGAUUGCAGAGCGUAAAGGCAUAUGAAAGCUUAACUGCGAGAUAGACAAAUCAAGCAGAGACGAAAGUCGGUCUUAGUGAUCUGACGGUAUUGAGUGGAAAAGCCGUCACUCAACGGAUAAAAGUUACUCUAGGGAUAACAGGCUGAUCUCCCCCAAGAGUUCACAUCGACGGGGAGGUUUGGCACCUCGAUGUCGGCUCGUCGCAUCCUAGGGCGGUAGUACGUCCUAAGGGUUGGGCUGUUCGCCCAUGAAAGCGGCACGCGAGCUGGGUUCAGAACGUCGUGAGACAGUUCGGUCCAUAUCCGGUGUAGGCGAUAGAAUAUUGAGAGGAUCUUUCUUUAGUACGAGAGGACCGAGAAGGACAUACCUCUAGUGUACCAGUUAUCAUGCCAAUGGUAAACGCUGGGUAGCUAUGUAUGGAAAGGAUAACUGCUGAAAGCAUCUAAGUAGAAAGCCCACCUCAAGAUGAGUAUUCUGGUAACGAAAAUUACUAAGGUUACGGCAAGACUAGCCGUUCGAUAGGUAUCAGGUGUAAG